rnacentral:rRNA from 1 species
GUGGGGAAUUUUUGUCAAUGGGGGAAACCCUGAACAAGCAACGCCGCGUGGAGGACGAAGACCUUCGGGUCGUAAACUCCUGUCGGAGGGGACGAAACCGAUUAUGGUUAAUACCCGUAGUCAUUGACGGUACCCUUAGAGGAAGCCCCGGCUAACUCCGUGCCAGCAGCCGCGGUAAUACGGGGGGGGCAAGCGUUGUUCGGAAUUACUGGGCGUAAAGGGCGUGUAGGCGGUCCUGCAAGUCUUUCGUGAAAUCCCACAGCUCAACUGUGGAACUGCGAGGGAAACUGCAGGACUUGAGUCCGGGAGAGGAGAGUGGAAUUCCCAGUGUAGCGGUGAAAUGCGUAGAUAUUGGGAGGAACACCGGUGGCGAAGGCGGCUCUCUGGACCGGUACUGACGCUGAGGCGCGAAAGCUAGGGGAGCAAACGGG